AACGAACGCUGGCGGCAUGCCUAACACAUGCAAGUCGAACGAGACCUUCGGGUCUAGUGGCGCACGGUUGCGUAACGCGUGGGAACCUGCCCUUAGGUUCGGAAUAACUCCCCGAAAGGGGUGCUAAUACCGGAUAAUGUCUUCGGACCAAAGAUUUAUCGCCUUUGGAUGGGCCCGCGUUGGAUUAGCUAGUUGGUAGGGUAAAAGCCUACCAAGGCGACGAUCCAUAGCUGGUCUGAGAGGAUGAUCAGCUACACUGGGACUGAGACACGGCCCAGACUCCUACGGGAAGCAGCAGUGGGGAAUAUUGGACAAUGGGCGAAAGCCUGAUCCAGCAAUGCCGCGUGAGUGAUGAAGGCCUUAGGGUUGUAAAGCUCUUUUACCCGGGAUGAUAAUGACAGUACCGGGAGAAUAAGCUCCGGCUAACUCCGUG
rnacentral:rRNA from 1 species